rnacentral:rRNA from 1 species
AUGCGCAAGUACAUGACUCCAGAACAGCAGAAAAUAUGGGAUGAAAGCAUAAAAAUUGCCAAGGGGCCACCGGACAUGCCAUUUCGUGAAGAGAUUGACAUACUUAGUGAGUACCGGGACAAGGUUCGUGAUGAGAUCUUCUAUGAUAAGAGCAUUUUGCAUCCAGGAACAGCAUCAUUGUCAUGGACUCUUUGCUCGAAGGCUCACCAUGCUGCAGCAUUGGCUUCCAAGGUGGUGGAUUGUGCGCGUUUAAGACAUGGUAUGGAGGAGAUUUCUGUGCAUACAACAAAGCAGAUUAUGCGGACGUAUGUGAGCGUCUUUGUUAGCACGGCUGAGGACAGCCACCAUAAGAAGGUUAGAAUGGAAACUAUUUUUUCCUUUCUUGGUGCACUUCAAGGUAUGGCAUCGAUAAGCCACAUACUGAUCCAAGAUACCCUAGCGCUCAUCGGGAGUAAAGAUACUUGUUCGGAUUACAAGAUAGAUGAGUCCGGUAUAGAUAGAGCUCACCUUGAGUAUCAGGUGGAAAUGAACAAUUUGAAAGAUAUGCUCACCUCGGCGCACAGGCGCGGGCUUCUUGAUUUAUACAAGAUUCUGGCGCCCACGCUGCAUCUUGCUGUGGCGCGUACAAAAACGUGUGUUCUGAAGAUGACUGCCACACGCAAAAUGGCACUAGGCCACCACCUACCAGGUGCGCCCAAGGCGCCAGAUGAUUCAUGA